GCUAUUUUGGCAGAUUAGUGCGCUAUAUUUAGGGUAUAGUAAAAAGUUUAACUUAAAUAGUU
rnacentral:tRNA from 1 species